UUUUUUUUCAUUUCCAUCAUUUCUGAAAAUCGAAGAACCUAAUGGAUCGAACUCAUCCCUGGCUGCUAAUAAUGAAACAAAGACCUAUUAUGGAUGCCUCUCUUGCUGAACAGAAGGCUAGAUGAGAUGGGUUCUUUGUUCUGUUAUAAACUCAUCUACUGCUCAUUCGGUUUUCGAAUGAUUGAAUGGUAUUCAACAGCUCUUGGCCGAGCUCGCACUGUCGAUCGUCUUAUUUUAUUUAUUAUUUAUUAUAAGAGUUUGAUCGUCGAUCGUAUCUGAUUAUAAUGGAGCUUGACGUGGAAGGGGGGUCUGUGAGGACCAUAGUAGCAGAGUCUCCACACAACCGGAGAGACCACCUAUUUAUAUUUACAGCGUGAAAAGGUGACAGCGGAAGGGAAGAAAAGAAGUAGCAGAAUCUGUCGGCUUGCCACACAAUUGAUCCAGAGGAGAGUAUGCAGACAGACUUAUUUCUGAGAUGGAACUCAUCCCUCGACGCGGCAUUAUUUGAAAGCACACAACAUCGCCCAGAAGCUUAUAGCCCCUUAGGUCCAAUUCGAUGUGUUAAGUAUAGUGCCGUGGUUUUUCCAACGAGGGAGCGGUAUCCCAGCGGCUUAACGAAUUUGACACCGAAUUAAGUUAGGCUAAUGAAGAACCAGUUAGC
rnacentral:misc_RNA from 1 species